AGGAACUCCACAGACACAGGAGGAAAGGCACUACACAAACAACCGCCGUGAACCGCCGUCGGACGAGAGAGUGAGAGAACCAAUCGAGAGAGAGAGAGGCUAGAGAGGGUCGAAUGGACGGACAGGAUCAAAGCCCCAGAUCGGACGGCCAGGGACGUGGCUAAGGAAAAAGACGCGGAUCCUAGUCGGGUCGGAUCAGGACGUGGGUCAAGGUCGGGAGGCAUAAGGUCAGACUGUCAGUAUGUAUGCGGAUGGUCCAAGUUGGGAUGAAGUCGGGCGGACGGUCGAAGUCGGGACGGUCCAAGCCAGGACGAAGUCGGGACGGUCCAAGCCAGGACGAAGUCGGGACGGUCCAAGCCAGGACGAAGUCGGGACGGUCGGUCGAAAUCAGACGAAGUCAUGCGGACAGAGUCGGACGGAUGGUGAGGUCGGGACAUGGGCCAGGCCCGAAUGCGCUCGGGCUGCGAGACGAGUGUGUAUUUGUGUAUUUAUUCGGGGUGGACCAUAAGGACAAAAAUCCAACAAAUCCUCCACCUGACUUUUGGUCCGAAUGGUCGGGGAACAUCAUCGCCUAUUUUAUUUCAUUAUAUAUUACCCUAUACCUGCAACACAGAUACACAAUGUUAAAAAAAAAAAAAACACUAAAUUAGCCUACCAACCACACUAAGUAGUAUAAGACUAAUCAAAAGUAUCACAAUGUAUAUAUCUCAUACAAGAUACGAAUUUAC